GGAUUGUGGCUCAAUGGUAGAGUUCUCGUCUAGCACAUGCGAGGCCCUGGGUCGAUCCUCAGCACCA
rnacentral:tRNA from 1 species